AUCCAGUUCAGUUGCACAACACCUAAACCAAGAUGCAAUUCUAAUGCUGAAUUCCAGCUCUUCAGAAACGGAUCAUCUGUAUCCUCACAGACACAUGAAUCUAGUGUGACUUUCAACUUUGUUAAUGUAGACGUCUCACAUCAGGGCAGCUACAGCUGUCGUUACUCUUACCAAAACAACAACAAGUCACCUAUGAGCAACACUGUAUUCAUCACUGUGGUGAACUUGCAGCAGCCCAGUAUUUCCAAAAGUGCUCCUGAUGGAUGGGUUGAUGAGGGGCCUCAGGGGCCAGUGAUCACCAGGGGUCACAGUUUCACUAUCACCUGUUCAACUCAAUCUCAGUUUCCUGGAGGAUCUUUUCACCUGUUCAGAGGAUCAGACAUCACCAGGACUGAGUCAGCUGUCAGUCACUCUGCUUCCUUCUUCUUUCCUGAGGCAGAUUUUUCACACGAGGGAAACUACAGUUGUGUUUAUGAAGUCAGUGUGUCCUCACGCUCCUUCCGUUCAUCUGCCUCCGAACUGCUGCCUUAUCACUAUUAUAGUGAACUUGCAGCAGCCCAGUAUUUCCCACAGUGCUUCUGAUGGAGGGUUGAUGAGGGGCCUCAGGGGCCAGUGAUCACCAGGGGUCACAGUUUCACUAUCACCUGUUCAACUCAAUCUCAGUUUCCUGGAGGAUCUUUUCACCUGUUCAGAGGAUCAAGCAUCACCAGGACUGAGUCAGCUGUCAGUCACUCUGCUUCCUUCUUCUUUCCUGAGGCAGAUUAUUCACACGACGGAAACUACAGUUGUGUUUAUGAAGUCAGUGUCUCCUCACGCUCCUUCCGUUCAUCUGCCUCUGAACUGCUGCUCAUCACUAUCACAGCCUCCCUGCUUCCUGUCAUUGGUGCUGCAGUGUCAGCUGUGCUGCUCUUAUUGUCUGUCCUCAUAAUCAUCCUCCUGCUGAAGAGAAGACAAAAGCAAAGGAACAAGAAAAUGCAUUCAAAGUGCUCUUUCACAAAAG